rnacentral:tRNA from 1 species
GCCCGGAUGGUGAAAUAGGUAUACACGCGACACUUAAAAUGUCGUCCUCGAUUUGAGGAUGCGGGUUCGAUUCCCGCUCUGGGCACCA